ACUCUCUCCGGCGCGUAGUCGCGACGUGAGCCUUUGAAGCUCGCAGAUCGGGUUCGAUCCCCGGACGGAGUGC
rnacentral:tRNA from 1 species